rnacentral:rRNA from 1 species
AUGGAGGUGAACAAGAACCAGUGGGUCGAGGAGUGGAACGCUGUCCGAGAGAACCUCGAGCUCAACUUCCGCUUUACCCGCCACAGCCUAGCCGUCAACAGCUUUUGCGGCCUCGCCGUUCCCAUCAAGGUAGAGAGAGAGAGAGAGAGACAAAAAUAUGCAAUGAGGUUGGGCUCUCAUGAUGCUGGACAUAGCUGGCUAACAUAUUUUGUGUUGUUGUGUCCUAAAGCUUUUGUGUCGGCCAUGAGAGGCCGCUGUGUCCUGAAGCUUGUUUCCCAACAGUAG